rnacentral:rRNA from 1 species
CAGCCGCCGCGGUAAUACGAAGGGGGCUAGCGUUGCUCGGAAUGACUGGGCGUAAAGGGCGCGUAGGCGGAUGGCACAGUCAGAUGUGAAAUUCCCGGGCUUAACCUGGGGGCUGCAUUUGAUACGUGUUGUCUAGAGUGAGGAAGAGGGUUGUGGAAUUCCCAGUGUAGAGGUGAAAUUCGUAGAUAUUGGGAAGAACACCGGUGGCGAAGGCGGCAACCUGGUCCCUGACUGACGCUGAGGCGCGAAAGCGUGGGGAGCAAACAGGAUUAGAUACCCCUGUAGUCCCUGUCUCUUAUAC